CGUCAAAUCAGCACGGCCCUUACAUCCGGGGCGACACACGUGUUACAAUGGUGAGGACAAAGGGCAGCUACCUGGCGACAGGAUGCGAAUCUCCAAACCUCAUCUCAGUUCGGAUCGGAGUCUGCAACCCGACUCCGUGAAGCUGGAUUCGCUAGUAAUCGCGCAUCAGCCAUGGCGCGGUGAAUACGUUCCCGGGCCUU
rnacentral:rRNA from 1 species